rnacentral:rRNA from 1 species
AACGAACGCUGGCGGCAUGCCUAACACAUGCAAGUCGAACGAGAUCCUUCGGGGUCUAGUGGCGCACGGGUGCGUAACGCGUGGGAAUCUGCCCUUAUGUUCGGAAUAACAGUUAGAAAUGACUGCUAAUACCGGAUGAUGACGUUAAGUCCAAAGAUUUAUCGCCUGAGGAUGAGCCCGCGUAGGAUUAGCUAGUUGGUGUGGUAAAGGCGCACCAAGGCGACGAUGCUUAGCUGGUCUGAGAGGAUGAUCAGCCACACUGGGACUGAGACACGGCCCAGACUCCUACGGGAGGAAGCAGUGGGGAAUAUUGGACAAUGGGCGCAAGACUGAGCCAGCAAUGCCGCGUGAGUGAUGAAGGCGUUAGGGUUGUAAAGCUCUUUUAAAAGGGAUGAUAAUGACAGUACCGUGAGAAUAAGCCCCGGCUAACUCCGUG